UACGUAGGGGGCAAGCGUUGUCCGGAUUUAUUGGGCGUAAAGAGCUCGUAGGUGGUUCGGUAAGUCGGAUGUGAAAUCUCCAGGCUCAACCUGGAGGGGUCAUUCGAUACUGCCGUGACUAGAGUUCGGUAGGGGAGUGUGGAAUUCCUGGUGUAGCGGUGAAAUGCGCAGAUAUCAGGGGGAACACCGGUGGCGAAGGCGGGUCUCUGGGCCGAUACUGACGCUGAGGAGCGAAAGCGUGGGGAGCGAACAGG
rnacentral:rRNA from 1 species